GCGGAGAAUCUUUCGUAGGAGACUUUUAACGUUUUAAAAGUGGCCUACAGGCUAGUAUAUAAAGAGUCAAGAAAGCAUUGACAUUACAGGUUCGAAGAUGCAUACCAUUGGGGAAUCUGGAAUGGAGAGGCUUUUGUGAUAGUAGUAUUUAAGUUGUUUCUAGGAGUUUAUAUUUUCAGACUUUAGCUUUGAGUUGGUGUGUUUCAGUUCAAACAUUGUUUGACUCUUAUUUCAUAAGUUUAAUAAAGUUGGUUUUGUUUUAGUAA